GACGAACGCUGGCGGCGUGCUUAACACAUGCAAGUCGAACGGAAAGGCCCUGCUUUUGUGGGGUGCUCGAGUGGCGAACGGGUGAGUAACACGUGAGUAACCUGCCCUUGACUUUGGGAUAACUUCAGGAAACUGGGGCUAAUACCGGAUAGGAGCUCCUGCUGCAUGGUGGGGGUUGGAAAGUUUCGGCGGUUGGGGAUGGACUCGCGGCUUAUCAGCUUGUUGGUGGGGUAGUGGCUUACCAAGGCUUUGACGGGUAGCCGGCCUGAGAGGGUGACCGGGCACAUUGGGACUGAGAGACGGCCCAGACUCCUACGGGAGACAGCAGUGGGGAAUAUUGCACAGUGGGCGGGAGCGUGAUGCGGCGGCGCCGCGUGCGGGAUGACGGCCUUCGGGUUGUAAACCGCUUUCGCCUGUGACGAAGCGUGAGUGACGGUAAUGGGUAAAGAAGCACCGGCUAACUACGUG
rnacentral:rRNA from 1 species